rnacentral:rRNA from 1 species
GUUUGAUCCUGGCUCAGGACGAACGCUGGCGGCGUGCCUAAUACAUGCAAGUAGAACGCUGAAGGAGGAGCUUGCUUCUCUGGAUGAGUUGCGAACGGGUGAGUAACGCGUAGGUAACCUGCCUGGUAGCGGGGGAUAACUAUUGGAAACGAUAGCUAAUACCGCAUAAUAGUAGAUGUUGCAUGACAUUUACUUAAAAGGUGCAAUUGCAUCACUACCAGAUGGACCUGCGUUGUAUUAGCUAGUUGGUGGGGUAACGGCUCACCAAGGCGACGAUACAUAGCCGACCUGAGAGGGUGAUCGGCCACACUGGGACUGAGACACGGCCCAGACUCCUACGGGAGGCAGCAGUAGGGAAUCUUCGGCAAUGGACGGAAGUCUGACCGAGCAACGCCGCGUGAGUGAAGAAGGUUUUCGGAUCGUAAAGCUCUGUUGUAAGAGAAGAACGAGUGUGAGAGUGGAAAGUUCACACUGUGACGGUAUCUUACCAGAAAGGGACGGCUAACUACGUGCCAGCAGCCGCGGUAAUACGUAGGUCCCGAGCGUUGUCCGGAUUUAUUGGGCGUAAAGCGAGCGCAGGCGGUUAGAUAAGUCUGAAGUUAAAGGCUGUGGCUUAACCAUAGUACGCUUUGGAAACUGUUUAACUUGAGUGCAAGAGGGGAGAGUGGAAUUCCAUGUGUAGCGGUGAAAUGCGUAGAUAUAUGGAGGAACACCGGUGGCGAAAGCGGCUCUCUGGCUUGUAACUGACGCUGAGGCUCGAAAGCGUGGGGAGCAAACAGGAUUAGAUACUCUGGUAGUCCACGCCGUAAACGAUGAGUGCUAGUGUUAGACCCUUUCCGGGGUUUAGUGCCGUAGCUAACGCAUUAAGCACUCCGCCUGGGGAGUACGACCGCAAGGUUGAAACUCAAAGGAAUUGAUGAAUCACUAGUGCUGACGCUGCAG